rnacentral:lncRNA from 1 species
AAUACGUGCGAGUUGUAAAUGUUGUCUAGCCAUUAAGUGGGUGCUAACUGGCUAAUUCAUUGUUGUAGAUACCAGCAUUGUGUUACCCUCGUGUGUGAUCGCCCAUUACUGCUGUGUUGCAGACGUUUUGGGAAUGGAAAGUCCCCUGCUGCAGAGUAGGAUGGAUCCAGCUGACUGCUAACAAUUUGGAGGAGGAUUGCUCUUUAUCUGCUAUGUUGCACUGUCGACUUCUG